AUUGAACGCUGGCGGCAGGCCUAACACAUGCAAGUCGAGCGAGCGGCGGACGGGUGCGUAAUGUAUGGGGAUCUGCCCGAUAGAGGGGGUUAACUACUGGACACGGUGGCUAAUACCGCAUACUAUCGGAUGAACCCAUAUGGGAGUAGCUAGUUGGUGGGGUAAAGGCUCACCAAGUCGACGAUCUCUAGCUGGGCUGAGAGGAUGAGCAGCCACACGGGGACUGAGACACGGCCCAGACUCCUACGGGAGGCAGCAGUGGGGAAUAUUGCACAAUGGGCGCAAGCCUGAUGCAGCCAUGCCGCGUGUGUGAAGAAGGCCUUAGGGUUGUAAAGCACUUUCAGCGGGGAGGCGUUACCCACAGAAGAAGCACCGGCUAACUCCGUGCCAGCAGCCGCGGUAAUAC
rnacentral:rRNA from 1 species